rnacentral:rRNA from 1 species
AUGAACGCUAGCGACAGGCUUAACACAUGCAAGUCGAGGGGUAACAGGGUAGCAAUACCGCUGACGACCGGCGCACGGGUGAGUAACGCGUAUGCAACCUGCCUAUAACUGUGGAAUAGCUCCCUGAAAGGGGAAUUAACACCGCAUAACACUAUUGAUUCGCAUGGAUUGGUAGUUAAAUGUAGCGAUACAGGUUAUAGAUGGGCAUGCGUGACAUUAGCUAGUUGGUGAGGUAACGGCUCACCAAGGCUACGAUGUCUAGGGGUUCUGAGAGGAAGGUCCCCCACACUGGUACUGAGACACGGACCAGACUCCUACGGGAGGCAGCAGUGAGGAAUAUUGGUCAAUGGGCGCAAGCCUGAACCAGCCAUGUCGCGUGCAGGAAGACUCGCCCUAUGGGUUGUAAACUGCUUUUAUAGUAGAAGAAACACAUCUACGUGUAGAUGUCUGCCAGUAUACUAUGAAUAAGCAUCGGCUAACUCCGUGCCAGCCGCUGC